AAAUACUCAGUCCUGCCACUUCCACUCUGCCAGAUCGUAAUCUCUGCUCAUUACCGCUCUGUCUCUGGCUCCUGUUCCACAUCUCACCACCCAACUACCUUGCUCUGGAUUUUACUCCCCAACACUACCUUGGAUUCCCCUCAGGGCCUGCUUACCCUGUUCUACUCCGCUAACUCCAACCUCAGUCUCCACACCUGUUUUUUCUGCAACUCAUCCAAGCUUCCCCGGAGCUGCACUCCAUAUCUCCCUGUGUAACAAUAAAUGUUGGUUCAUUCAUCCAUGUUUCCUCAUCUGAGUCUGCUCUUGGGUUCCCCUGUGUCGCUCCGUUUAACAUAUGGCACUAUUCGUACCAACAGAAUCGGUUUCCCCAAGACCAAGCUAGCAACAUGACAAAGACAGAGAAGAGGGGGACUAUGCGUUGGAUCAGGACUAACAAGCUGCUGUUUGUGAAAUUGAAGGACACUAGGGAAGUAACCAUGCUCACCACACAGCAUAAGGCAUUCAAUAACAACUAUGUCUGAAGGAGGGUGAAAAAGGAAGAAUGUUUCUGUGAAGGACUACAAUAUCAGCAUGGGGGGAGUCAACCUAUCUGAUGCUCAGGUCCUCCAAUACUUUUUUUUUACCACUUUGUGGACAUUGCUAUAGUAAAUGCUUUCAUUCUCUACAAGCAGAUGGCCAAAGCAGAAGGUCAAACCCCCUCUCUCCCAGUCCGCCUUCCGAGAGCAGAUGGUGUUGGAAAUGGCUGAAUUGGAAGCGCAAAGCAACUUCACAACCAUCACAAGACCCCCCCACUCAAGCAAUGGGGACUGAAUGAAAGGAGACAGCUGAAAAGAGAGACGGAUAAAAUACACAACAUACGUUAUCAUGCGAGGAAUGGAUCGAUUCAGCCGGAUGAAAGACCAGUUUACGCGUAGAAACAAAUGUUCCAGAGAGACACCCAACUCCACCAACACCCUUUGGGCAACAAAGUGCCUGGACCAACAACAGAACUACUAACAUGACAGACCAACCCUGGUCCCUUAGCUCAGUGGUUAUCACCCUCUUUUGGUUACUCUAACCCCUAUCAUAUGAUUUUACCCUUGGGGAUUAUUAAAGUACUAAUAUACUGCCUUAUGUUAAUUAUACCAUUAGACAUACUGUAUGUUCUUACAAGUUCAGUGUUUUGCCCCCUGUGAAUAGCCUACUACACAAUUGUACCUGCAGCCCACCAUUCUACUCCCCCCAGGCAAGACCCCUGACACCUCUUAUAUGUACACAGCCUGAGAAUGUGUUUGAUGGGGUGGUCACUACUAUUUUUGUGGACAACAUCAAGGCCUCUGUAGCCACACUUCUAGACGUGGUGAUUGGAGAGUAUAUAUGAGAAAAAUGCAUCGGUUGUGAGAUCAAUCACCCCAGCCAGCGCCAUGCCUAUACAAGCCCCCAAGAUACUACUUCUUCAACCAUUUUGAGGAGCUGGUGAAAAGACUGUGGUCCUGCAGGUUUAUACCUUCGCUGGUCAGAGCCCUGGAGUCUAUGGGUCUUGUGCCGUCUAUUCCCAGAGUUUACGGGGUAACCAAGGCUUUCCUACAUGAACUGAAGGAGACGAUCUACAUUCACGAGAAGCUCAAAGAAAUCCGACACACCCUGGUGGACGACAACAAAUACAGGGAAGCUGUGGUGGCUGAUGUGAUGACUUUCUGUCUCACUAAACCCGGAGAGACCGAGUGACAAUACAUUUGUUGGGUAACUAUGUGCAUACGAUGUUAGAAAGAAUAAAUACAUUUUUUCUUUUGAGAGAACUUACAAAUGUUAUGCAUCAAAUUAUUGAAAAUAAAGUGAACAAUGUAUCGUUCUACACAACACACAAUGCCUGGGCUAAUGCAGAGCGUGUGCUAAAAAUGGAGCAAAUCAUGAAUCAUGUACGACAAUACGGGCGAGAGUCUACAAUGGACACAACUGGUAUCCCGUCUUGUGGAUGAUUCGGAAGAACUAGAAACAACCGUGUCUAAGAUUUUACUUUAUUCGUUUGAAACACCAUUUAAUGUAUCAUAUUUUUUGUUUAUAUACUUAUAUAGCGGAUGUGUGUGUUUUAAAAAUUCAGCGACACAAGCCUGUAAAUCUAAACCAAUAUACAGGGUGUUGCAUGCUGGGAUCGUUGAGAAAAUGGGGACAAGUAUCCUGCAACGAAUCCUGAAUAAUUCCUACUUGAUGUUUGCAAAAAAUAAAAAAUUCAAAA